rnacentral:rRNA from 1 species
GAUGAACGCUGGCGGCGUGCCUAAUACAUGCAAGUCGAGCGAACAGACGAGGAGCUUGCUCCUCUGACGUUAGCGGCGGACGGGUGAGUAACACGUGGAUAACCUACCUAUAAGACUGGGAUAACUUCGGGAAACCGGAGCUAAUACCGGAUAAUAUAUUGAACCGCAUGGUUCAAUAGUGAAAGACGGUUUUGCUGUCACUUAUAGAUGGAUCCGCGCCGCAUUAGCUAGUUGGUAAGGUAACGGCUUACCAAGGCGACGAUGCGUAGCCGACCUGAGAGGGUUAUCGGCCCCACUGGAACUGAGACACGGUCCAGACUCCUACGGGAGGCAGCAGUAGGGAAUCUUCCGCAAUGGGCGAAAGCUUGACGGAGCAACGCCGCGUGAGUGAUGAAGGUCUUCGGAUCGUAAAACUCUGUUAUUAGGGAAGAACAAAUGUGUAAGUAACUAUGCACGUCUUGACGGUACCUAAUCAGAAAGCCACGGCUAACUACGUG